rnacentral:tRNA from 1 species
GGUUGUGGCUCAGUGGUAGAGAGCUCACCUACCACAAGCGAGGCCCUGGGUUCAAUCCUCAGCACCA